UGCAGUAGAGGAGUUGGGGGGCAGAAGGACGGUAAGUAUGUCGAUAUAGGCCACUGCGGUGGGAGGGUGCUUUGGGCGAGGGGCUGAGAGGGAGCGGUGGGAGGAGCUGGGAGGGUGCUUUGGGCGAGGGGGGCGGAGCGGUAGGUUGUGGCGAGAGAAACGGGAUGGGAGGGUAGAACGGGGGAGCGGGGCGAGCGGUAGGGACGAGCCAUUCUGUGCAA
rnacentral:lncRNA from 1 species